GUCGCUGUAGCUUAGCCCGGAAGAGCAAUCGGCUGUUAAACAUAGUCUAUUAUCAACCGGCUUCUAUUGAAACCGAUAGGUCGCAGGUUCAAAUCCUGCCAGCGACG
rnacentral:tRNA from 1 species